rnacentral:misc_RNA from 1 species
AUUCCACUUAAGCCCUGCUUAGUGUUGGGAGACUGCUCCAGUGAUAGCUACCCUGUAGCUACCCUGCAGCUCCUUAAAGAUAGCGGCGGAGUUGUGAUAUCCUCUGAGCUUAGUAAUUUAUUCUAGCUUUCGAGUACAUCGCUUCCCCUGCCGUUAAACCACCCAAUUUUUAAU